rnacentral:rRNA from 1 species
UACGAAGGGGGCUCGCGUUGCUCGGACUUACUGGGCGUAAAGGGCGCGUAGGCGGGUGUUUAAGUCAGAGGUUAAAUCCCAGGGCUCAACCCUGGAACUGCCUUUGAUACUGGGCACCUAGAGUUCGGGAGAGGUGUGUGGAACUCCGAGUGUAGAGGUGAAAUUCGUAGAUAUUCGGAAGAACACCAGUGGCGAAGGCGACACACUGGCCCGAUACUGACGCUGAGGCGCGAAAGCGUGGGGAGCAAACAGG